rnacentral:rRNA from 1 species
GGACGAACGCUGGCGGCGUGCUUAACACAUGCAAGUCGAACGGAAAGGCCCUGCUUUUGUGGGGUGCUCGAGUGGCGAACGGGUGAGUAACACGUGAGUAACCUGCCCUUGACUUUGGGAUAACUUCAGGAAACUGGGGCUAAUACCGGAUAGGAGCUCCUGCUGCAUGGUGGGGGUUGGAAAGUUUCGGCGGUUGGGGAUGGACUCGCGGCUUAUCAGCUUGUUGGUGGGGUAGUGGCUUACCAAGGCUUUGACGGGUAGCCGGCCUGAGAGGGUGACCGGCCACAUUGGGACUGAGAUACGGCCCAGACUCCUACGGGAGGCAGCAGUGGGGAAUAUUGCACAAUGGGCGGAAGCCUGAUGCAGCAACGCCGCGUGCGAGAUGACGGCCUUCGGGUUGUAAACCGCUUUCGCCUGUGACGAAGCGUAAGUGACGGUAAUGGGUAAAGAAGCACCGGCUAACUACGUG